ACUGUUGAUUUAGUAUUAUUAG
rnacentral:snRNA from 1 species